rnacentral:rRNA from 1 species
UACGGAGGGUGCAAGCGUUGUCCGGAUUUAUUGGGUUUAAAGGGUGCGUAGGUGGCCUUAUAAGUCAGCGGUGAAAGUCUGCAGCUUAACUGUAGAACUGCCAUUGAUACUGUAAGGCUUGAGUACUGAUGAGGUAGGCGGAAUUGAUAGUGUAGCGGUGAAAUGCAUAGAUAUUAUCAAGAACACCGAUUGCGAAGGCAGCUUACUAAGGAGUUACUGACACUGAGGCACGAAGGCCAGGGGAGCAAACGGG